rnacentral:rRNA from 1 species
UACGUAGGGUGCGAGCGUUAAUCGGAAUUACUGGGCGUAAAGCGUGCGCAGGCGGUGAUGUAAGACAGGUGUGAAAUCCCCGGGCUUAACCUGGGAACUGCAUUUGUGACUGCAUCGCUGGAGUGCGGCAGAGGGGGAUGGAAUUCCGCGUGUAGCAGUGAAAUGCGUAGAUAUGCGGAGGAACACCGAUGGCGAAGGCAGCCCCCCUGGGCUAACACUGACGCUCAGGCACGAAAGCGUGGGGAGCAAACAGG